rnacentral:rRNA from 1 species
UUGCCAGCAAGUAGCGUUGGGCACUCUAGCCAGACUGCCGGUGGAUAAAUACGGAGGAAGGUGGGGACGACGUCAAAUCAUCAUGCCCCUUAUGACCUGGGCUACACACGUGCUACAAUGGUUGGUACAACGAGUUGCGAGUCGGUGACGGCGAGCUAAUCUCUUAAAGCCAAUCUCAGUUCGGAUUGUAGGCUGCAACUCGCCUACAUGAAGUCGGAAUCGCUAGUAAUCGCGGAUCAGCACGCCGCGGUGAAUACGUUCCCGGACCUU